GCACGCACUUGGCGUCGAUGGCUGAUCAAUAAGGGCCGCGGCUUCCUUACACUGAGGAUGGGUACUCGCCUAUGGUCUGCUCGAUUGGUAGAUAUGCCUACAAUUUGUGCUAAGUGGAGCCUGCGCUCGCGCAGCUCCACG
rnacentral:snRNA from 1 species